UACGUAGGGUGCAGGCGUUAUUCGGAAUUACUGGGCGUAAAGCGUGCGUAGACGGUUAUUUAAGUCGGGUGUGAAAGCCCCGGGCUCAACCUGGGAAUUGCAUUCGAGACUGAAUAGCUAGGGUACGGUAGAGGGAAGUGGAAUUUCCGGUGUAGCGGUGAAAUGCGUAGAUAUCGGAAGGAACAUCAGUGGCGAAAGCGACUUCCUGGACCAGUACCGACGUUCAGGCACGAAAGCGUGGGGAGCAAACAGG
rnacentral:rRNA from 1 species